rnacentral:tRNA from 1 species
UGGCUCAGAGGUUAAAGUGUCUGCCUGCAAUGCAGGAGACCCGGGUUCGAUCCCUGG